rnacentral:tRNA from 1 species
GUCCGGUUGGUCAAGUGGUCAAGACAUCGUCCUUUCACGGCGAAAUCAUGGGUUCAAUUCCCAUACCGGAUACCA